AUAUCUGGACAACAGAUAUUUCGACUCUUGUCACGAUGAAGAAUGUAGCGAAAUGCAAUACUUAGUGUGAAUUGCAGAAUCUCAUGAAUCAUCAAGUUUUUGAAUAAUGACCUUCAUUAAAAACUGGUGUAUUUUUU
rfam:Picea glauca, whole genome shotgun sequence.